rnacentral:rRNA from 1 species
UACGUAGGGGGCGAGCGUUGUCCGGAGUUACUGGGCGUAAAGCGUCCGCAGGUGGUGACUCAAGUGGUGACUGACAGUGCCCGGCUUAACUGGGCAAGGCGUCGCCAAACUGGGCCACUUGAGGGCUUCAGAGGGACACGGAAUUCCGGGUGGAGUGGUGAAAUGCGUAGAGAUCCGGAGGAACACCAAAGGCGUAGGCAGUGUCCUGGGGAGUACCUGACACUCAUGGACGAAAGCUAGGGGAGCGAACGGG